AGAGAUGGUGAGAUAAAUGAAGUGAUGUUAGGCACCGGGAAGCCCAUGUAAAAUUAGCCGAGACAAAGAGCCCCAGGGAUGAGCUCAGAGUUUCCCACAGAUCAGAGUGCAUUUUUGCAGUGUGCACAGGCAGGUAUUUAGUGAGCUGCUCACAGAGAUGAUCUCGAUGGAUCACCACUGGCAUUUAAUUCCUGGUGUUGCCAGGGGCUUGUGGAAAUGGAGGAGGUCCUCUGCUGCUCGCCUGUGCCUGGAAGAAGAGCUGAUGGGGGGAGUAGAAGAUGCUCAACUUUCCCCAACCUCAUCCUACUCCUGGACGUGGAUUAAGUCAGCUGGAUCCAAAACUCCGCAUAUUCCUGAGCAGACCUCAGAUGUAGGGUAGCUGAGCUUUCAGAUGGCUUUGGGUACAAUCUGAUGGCUGCUUGAUUUUUUUUGUUUUUGAUGCCACUCCUCUAGCACUUCUUUCCUCUUAACAAGAAGUACCAGAAGUAGCGGCAGGAGAGCCAAGCGUGAGGAGAAAAGGUGGUCUGUGGGCAUCUGCAACAGCCUCUCUCCUGAGACUAGGGCAGGGGAAACACUGUGAGCACUGCCAGACCCACCCUAGGGAAACUUGACAAGAAAAGAGGAUUUUUCCACUCCCUUCCCAUCUGUAAGCCCCUCAUAUCAGCCUCUCGUGUCAGCCAUAGCAUAAUGCCAACAGAGAAAAAGUAGAAGCAGAGAGUUGAGAAAGACCUUCGUCCUCCCUGUGUUACUGGAAAACUUAGAAACCAGCACCACAAACCUGCAGCCCCUGUUCUAUUGCUUUUAUUACAUGGAUGGAAUAUC